rnacentral:rRNA from 1 species
GUUAGACAAUUCUUGGCGGUGGAUCACUCGGCUCGUGCGCCGAUGAAGAACGCAGCCAGCUGCGUGAAUCAGUGUGAAUUGCAGAACGCAGUGAUCAUCGGCAUUUCGAACGCACAUGGCGGCCCGGGCCCCCCGCGGCCCGGGCCUCGUCCGCCUGAGGGUCGUGAG